ensembl:rRNA 5S_rRNA 5S ribosomal RNA
GCUUACGGCCAUAACACCUUAGGCACGCCCGAUCUCGUCUGAUCUCGGAAGCUGAGCAGGGUUGGGCCUGGUUAGUACUUGGAUGGGUGACCGCCUGGGAAUACCAUGUGCUGUAAGCA